rnacentral:rRNA from 1 species
GUCCAGACUCCUACGGGAGGCAGCAGUGGGGAAUAUUGCACAAUGGGGGAAACCCUGAUGCAGCGACGCCGCGUGAGUGAAGAAGUAUUUCGGUAUGUAAAGCUCUAUCAGCAGGGAAGAAAAUGACGGUACCUGACUAAGAAGCCCCGGCUAACUACGUGCCAGCAGCCGCGGUAAUACGUAGGGGGCAAGCGUUAUCCGGAUUUACUGGGUGUAAAGGGAGCGUAGACGGCAUGGCAAGUCAGAUGUGAAAGCCCGGGGCUCAACCCCGGGACUGCAUUUGAAACUGUCAGGCUGGAGUGCAGGAGAGGUAAGUGGAAUUCCUAGUGUAGCGGUGAAAUGCGUAGAUAUUAGGAGGAACACCAGUGGUGAAGGCGGCUUACUGGACUGUAACUGACGUUGAGGCUCGAAAGCGUGGGGAGCAAACAGGAUUAGAUACCCGUGUA